rnacentral:rRNA from 1 species
GGGUUGUAAAGCACUUUCAGCGGGGAAGAAGGCCUGGCGGUCAAUACCCGCCAUGAACGACAUCACCCGCAGAAGAAGCACCGGCUAACUCCGUGCCAGCAGCCGCGGGAAUAAGGAGGGUGCAAGCGUUAAUCGGAAUUAAUGGGCGUAAAGCGCGCGUAGGCGGCGUGUCACGCCGGGUGUGAAAGCCCCGGGCUCAACCUGGGAACGGCAUCCGGAACGGGCAGGCUAGAGUGCAGGAGAGGAAGGUAGAAUUCCCGGUGUAGCGGUGAAAUGCGUAGAGAUCGGGAGGAAUACCAGUGGCGAAGGCGGCCUUCUGGACUGACACUGACGCUGAGGUGCGAAAGCGUGGGUAGCAAACAGGAUUAGAUACCCUGGUAGUCCACGCCGUAAACGAUGUCGACUAGCCGUUGGGUCCCUUGAGGACUUAGUGGCGCAGUUAACGCGAUAAGUCGACCGCCUGGGGAGUACGGCCGCAAGGUUAAAACUCAAAUGAAUUGACGGGGGCCCGCACAAGCGGUGGAGCAUGUGGUUUAAUUCGAUGCAACGCGAAGAACCUUACCUACCCUUGACAUCCUGCGAACCCGGAAGAGAUUCCGGGGUGCCUUCGGGAACGCAGAGGCAGGUGCUGCAUGGCUGUCGUCAGCUCGUGUUGUGAAAUGUUGGGUUAAGUCCCGUAACGAGCGCAACCCUUGUCCCUAUUUGCCAGCGAUUCGGUCGGGAACUCUAGGGAGACUGCCGGUGACAAACCGGAGGAAGGUGGGGACGACGUCAAGUCAUCAUGGCCCUUACGGGUAGGGCUACACACGUGCUACAAUGGUCGGUACAAAGGGCAGCGAAAGCGCGAGCUGAAGCGAAUCCCGAAAAGCCGAUCUCAGUCCGGAUCGGAGUCUGCAACUCGACUCCGUGAAGUCGGAAUCGCUAGUAAUCGUGCAUCACGAUGGCACGGUGAAUACGUUCCCGGGCCUUGUACACACCGCCCGUCACACCAUGGGAGUGGACUGCACCAGAAGUGUUAGCCUAACUUCGGAGGGCGAU